rnacentral:lncRNA from 1 species
UGAUAAGCCUCACACCCCACAGGGUCCACACACACGUCAACACAGUCCUGGUCGGUGCACAUUUCCCAACCCCCUGGAGCGUAUCUCAACACCCCACUGCAGAGGCCCCCACCUCUCCACCAGUGCCCCCCACAGUUCACCUGGUCCUCACACAGGCCCUGCCCCACAGAGGCGACACCCUCACCUGUCUGUAGAGGAUCAAAGCACCCAGUCAAUGAAGCCGACAAGUAACCUGAGGGCUUGCUGUUGGGCGGGGUGGGUCCCUAGGGCAGGCUGCCUGCCCAGGCUGAACUGGAUUAAAUCUGCACGCUAAUAGGUGUGGCAGCCCUCUGGGCUAACAGGCCAGGGGAAGAACCUCAAUGGUGUCUUCUGGGGUCUGUGUCAGCACGCCUGGACCAGGUCAGAACAAUGGCCCCCACCGAUGUCUCAGUCUCCAGAGAGGACCCUCCUCUCACCAAGAUGCCCCCAGAGCCCACCAGGUAACACAUGCUGUGAGGAGGCGGCCCCGGGAGUCACAGAACUGCUGCAGAUCCCUGGAGGUCAAGGGCUGCAAGGGACUGGAGUUGCCAUCAGAGACCCACGGAUCUUGCUCUUGGCUGUAUUGUGGGGAAGAACACGUCUGUGUCACUGUUUCCAAAGGAAACUCAGCUAGAUUCAAGCUCACGCAGGAAGAGCGCUGAGUGAGAGGCAGCCGGCCACAGGCCCCGUGCUACUUGCAGCAUUUUUACUCGCCUUGUUUCCUCAUCACGGCAAUUUGACGAGGUUGCUUCGGUUCACAUUGUCUAUGGUGAGUGACUGAGAUGACGUCCCUGAGGCCGCCCAGCUGGAAACAGCCACGAGUCAAGCCCAGGCCUGGUUCCAAGUUCAGCUCUUCCUCAUGUGGAAAGAACCGUUUCACCCCAGCUGCUGGGGCACCCGCCCUCUGCUUCUUCACUUGGUGGUGUUUUUAUUUAUGAACAGCCUUAAAGCCUUUUCGUAAGCUAGUUAUAUAUAAAUCACACGAAAAUGAAAUGUUCCCUCAAGAAACAGGUGACCUGGCUGAGUCCACGACGUAACUAGCGCGUACACCUGCAGACCCUCCUGACAGACGCCCAGGGUUUCAGAUCCACACCAGCCGACGCCGUCCACUCGUGUAACCCAGAGUCUGCAGCAGGUCUGCCCAACCCCCCGUGGGUCCCUCAGCGCCCCUGGGGAGAGGGAAGGACUGCAGGGUUUCCAGCCUCUCUUUAGAACACAUUCUUGGCUAAAGAGUUGAGACCAACAAGAGGAGGAUUGUGACCCACAAGCUCUCAGAGUUAGACUUCUGCUUCUCAAAAUCCAACCAUUCCUUCAAGCCUUCCAGCCUACCAACACCACUCCAGGUUCCUCUCAUGUACUGUGUUUUCUCACAGCAUUUUUAAAACUCAGUUUUAUAGAGGUCUAGAUUACAUAGAAUAAAAUG